UCUUAGACGAUUUUUUGUACA
rnacentral:piRNA from 1 species